rfam:Trichosporon asahii var. asahii CBS 8904 unplaced genomic scaffold scaffold00190, whole genome shotgun sequence.
GGUCGCGUGGCCCAAUGGCAAGGCGUCUGACUACGACUUCAUCGACUCCGCAGGUCAUCACGGAGUUCAGAGGUAAUCAGGAGAUUGCGGGUUCGAUCCCCGUCGUGACCU